CUUGUUUGUGGAGAGGGAUGAAUUUGACCAACUUGUGUGUUUAAGGACAAGACCAAAAGCUGCAAAUGCAAACAUUUCCAGAGGUACAAACAGAGUGGAUGGUUGUAUGAUGGCCUCUUUCAGUUUUGUCAACUGAAUGUCUACUAGUGAGGCUCAGCAAGUUCUAGUCAUGAUCAGCCCUCUCCAAGAAAGCUGAAGAGAAAAAACACAAAGAACAUCAGUCCUGUUGGAGAUGAGGAAUGAACAUGGCUCUAUUGUCCCCAAACAGAAAAGACUGAAAAGUCCUAGAAUGAACAAAUCAUCAGGUCAUCAUUUCUGGAAUUUGGGCAGAAAAUUACUGAAUAUGAAAGACUGCAU